rnacentral:ncRNA from 1 species
AAGAUAGAGGCGCGGUUUACAUCAGUAUCAGUCCGGAGGGUCCGCAACCCGGCGAACGAUUGAGAAAGGGCAAACCGCCGAAGCCGUUCCCCUGACUGCGGCAGGGCCGUGCUGGACGGGUGGGAGAAGAUCCGCCGUGUCUGUCAUCAGCGUUUUGGAAAUGCCGGUGGAGAGCUAUC